CCAACGGCCCUUAUCAGGGCCAUCCAAAUUUCUCAAAGAGAAAUAA
rfam:Lottia gigantea unplaced genomic scaffold LOTGIsca_34, whole genome shotgun sequence.